rnacentral:rRNA from 1 species
UACGGAGGGGAGGAGCGUUGUUCGGAAUUACUGGGCGUAAAGCGCACGUAGGCGGAUUUGUAAGUCAGGGGUGAAAUCCCGAGGCUCAACCUCGGAACUGCCUUUGAUACUGCAAAUCUCGAGUCCGGAAGAGGUGAGUGGAAUUCCUAGUGUAGAGGUGAAAUUCGUAGAUAUUAGGAAGAACACCAGUGGCGAAGGCGGCUCACUGGUCCGGUACUGACGCUGAGGUGCGAAAGCGUGGGGAGCAAACAGG